CAAUAGCGUAUAUUAAAGUUGUUGCGGUUAAAAAGCUCGUAGUUGGAUUUCUGCUGAGAACGACCGGUCCGCCCUCUGGGUGUGUAUCUGGCUCUUUCUUGGCAUCUUCUUGGUGAACGUUGCUGCACUUGACUGUGUGGAGCGCUACCCAGGACUUUUACUUUGAGGAAAUUAGAGUGUUUCAAGCAGGCAUACGCCUUGAAUACAUUAGCAUGGAAUAAUAAGAUAGGACCUCGGUUCUAUUUUGUUGGUUUCUAGAGCUGAGGUAAUGAUUAAUAGGGAUAGUUGGGGGCAUUCGUAUUUAACUGUCAGAGGUGAAAUUCUCGGAUUUGUUAAAGACGGACUACUGCGAAAGCAUUUGCCAAGGAUGUUUUCAUUGA
rnacentral:rRNA from 1 species